CAGGGGGGGUGGAGGGGGUGGCGGGAAGCUAGGGUUUCGGUCAAUCCAAGCUCCGGACCCCCCGCUGAGCUCCUAGGACAUUUCCUCCCCUCGCAUCCCCACUCCCGGUGCCUAAUGCAGGUUCUACUCACGGCUGGCGCCCUGUCAGUUGCCCUCCUAGAGCGGGAGGUCUGGGACCCACUGCCGAGCCCUGAGCUCUUGCUGUCAGCCUUCCCCGACUCUGCCAAGGCUCCAGACAGUUGCCACGAAUGGAUCUUGGCUGGUGAGCUGAGGCUUGGGCUGGGAGCAACAGGAAAUCGAAGGGAUGUGGUGAAGGCUGAGAACUGCUGGAAAGGAAACCAAGAUCCCGGAGCUCUAUGGACUCCAGGGUGUAGCUGACACUUCUGGUGACCUCAGGUGAUAGACCAGCCCUGCUCCCAGGACCCUCUCGCAGAGAUUGCUGGUCAGGACCUCGUGCCCUCACCGCUGUCCUUGCUGGUCUGAGCCCCAGAAUCCAACUGACCGCCCGGUCCCAGAGGAGGAGAGCAGGGCAGGCCCAGACAACUCCUAUAGAAGCAGCAGAUACACUGACUCCAACACCGUUCUCGUUCAAGGGGGAGCAGACGUCAACACAGCCCUAAAAUAGGCCAGACUGCAGCAGGAGGUACAGAGGAGCAUGGGGUUCGGGGUGAGGAGAGGGUGGUUCUCGUGAGAAACAGAGGAAGCUUCCUGCAGGUGAGAAUCUCUGACCCAGACCUAGCGAAUCGUGUUCCUUUUCAGCCUCGGUUUCUGCAUCUGCAAAAUGGGGGUGAGGACUAUAUUUGCCCGGUGAGGUUGUGGGGUGGGUCAACUCUGUCGGGCGAUCAGACGGGGGAAAACUCUGGAAGGCAACACUGAUUGUUGGGAAUUAGUAGGAUUCUGACAGGACGGGGCGGGAGGAGAAACGUCCCCAGUAAAAAGAGCGCUGUGAAGCGAGACUAGUCCUGACAUACUCGUCCGCGAAUGUUUAUUGUGCACCUACUUGACCAGCCCUGAAGAAGAACUUAGCCUGAGGGGCGGGUGGUUGGGGUCUGAACACCACACUCGAGAAUAAGGACUGUGUCAAAUGGGCAGUGGGGAAGCAUGUUAAGGAGGAUGGUGACGGAGAGGGCGUCCCCAGAACACCUUUAGGAGACUCCCCAGGGCAGUGCACCUGCUCCACGGAGGGGCCCAAAGCACCAGACUUAGGGGAGGAGGGGUCAGCGAAAGCAGAAGAGAGGACACUUAGGUCACCCAGCCCAGGCCCUGCCUUCUGCCUCUGGUCACCGAGCCCCUGCCCUUAGUGCUUCGGGCUUCUUGGCUGCCAGCGGUCACCUCCCCUAACCCCAGACAAUAAAUUAGUAAGCAAAAUGCAUAGUAUGUUAGAUGGGUACUAUGUGCUCUUUUAAUAAAGAGGAAUUUCAGCACAAAUGACUCCCUAACUUCCUUCUGGUCUUCACUUAAAGGCCCUCACGUCUCAGUGAGGCUUUCCCUAACCAAGGCGUGUUUUAUUUUUUUUUAAUGUUUAUUUAUUUUUGACGGACAGCGAGAGAGAG